AUUGGACGCUGGCCGCCUGCCUUACCACUGCCAGUCGAAAGAAGUUUCAAUACUUAAUGGCGGACGGGGGAGUUACCCGGGGGAAAUUGCCCUUAAGGGGGGGAUAAACGCUGGAAACGGCCGGUUAAUCCCCCUAAUUCCGAAAGAGCAAAGAUUUAUCGCUUUAGGAUGAGCCCGCGUCUGAUUAGCUAGUUGGUGAGGUAAUGGCUCACCAAGGCGACGAUCAGUAGCCGGUCUGAGAGGACGAUCGGCCACACUGGGACUGAGACACGGCCCAGACUCCUACGGGAGGCAGCAGUGGGGAAUUUUGGACAAUGGGCGCAAGCCUGAUCCAGCGACGCCGCGUGAAUGAUGAAGGCCUUCGGGUUGUAAAGUUCUUUUGGCAGGGAAGAUAGUGACGGUACCUGCAGAAUAAGCACCGGCAAACUCUGUGCCAGCCGCCGCGGUAA
rnacentral:rRNA from 1 species